UACGGGGGGGGCAAGCGUUGUUCGGAAUUACUGGGCGUAAAGGGCUCGUAGGCGGCCAACUAAGUCAGACGUGAAAUCCCUCGGCUUAACCGGGGAACUGCGUCUGAUACUGGAUGGCUUGAAUUCGGGAGAGGGAUGCGGAAUUCCAGGUGUAGCGGUGAAAUGCGUAGAUAUCUGGAGGAACACCGGUGGCGAAGGCGGCAUCCUGGACCGGCAUUGACGCUGAGGAGCGAAAGCCAGGGGAGCAAACGGG
rnacentral:rRNA from 1 species